rnacentral:rRNA from 1 species
GAUGAACGCUAGCGGCAGGCCUAACACAUGCAAGUCGAGGGGCAGCAUAUAAGUAGUUUACUACUUAAGAUGGCGACCGGCGCACGGGUGCGUAACGCGUAUGCAACCUACCUUAAACAGGGGGAUAAUUCGGAGAAAUCUGGUCUAAUACCCCAUAACAUUUCAGAUGGCAUCAUUUGGAGUUGAAAGUUCCGGCGGUUUAAGAUGGGCAUGCGUUGUAUUAGUUAGUUGGUGAGGUAACGGCUCACCAAGGCAACGAUACAUAGGGGGACUGAGAGGUUAACCCCCCACACUGGUACUGAGACACGGACCAGACUCCUACGGGAGGCAGCAGUGAGGAAUAUUGGUCAAUGGACGCAAGUCUGAACCAGCCAUGCCGCGUGCAGGAUGACGGCUCUAUGAGUUGUAAACUGCUUUUGUACGAGGGUAAACCCGGUUACGUGUAACCGGUUGAAAGUACCGUACGAAUAAGGAUCGGCUAACUCCGUGCCAGCAGCCGC